UCCCUGGUAGUAUAUCGGUUAGUACACGCGCCUGUCAUGAUCGAGCGGCAAUGAACGCGCGAAAGCUGGGUUCGACUCCCAGCCAGGGAG